rnacentral:rRNA from 1 species
UACGUAGGGGGCUAGCGUUGUCCGGAAUCAUUGGGCGUAAAGAGCGUGUAGGCGGCCCGGUAAGUCCGCUGUAAAAGUCAAAGGCUCAACCUUUGAAUGUCAGUGGAUACUGCCGGGCUAGAGUCCGGAAGAGGCGAGUGGAAUUCCUGGUGUAGCGGUGAAAUGCGCAGAUAUCGGGAGGAACACCGGUGGCGAAGGCGGUUCUCUGGGCCUUACCUGACGCUGAGGAGCGAAAGCGUGGGGAGCGAACAGG